CCCGAUUUACGAGUUUCCUGGUUUUUUCAAUGGCCAUACAGCUCAGCGCACCGCGCCAAAAAAUUCUCUUCAGGAAGGAGGACCAGAACACCGUUGUUCUGGGGCACAAGGCAGCAAACGCAUCCAAGUCUCUUUUUAUAUUCCACAACAAGUCCGCACUCCUUCUGUAAGCAAGGUCAUUUUCCCCUAAUUGAAUGACAAGGAUGCCGGGAGGGCCGAACGUGGCGACUUUUUCCCACAGCAAUGGCAU